UCAGUUUAAUCGGAAUAAACUCAUAAUUCGUCUUUUUCUCUGAAUCAGACUUCUCUCCUUGUCCUCGUUUACAUGCAGCUGAGAAAACUGAAUUAUUGACGUGAACGUGUCCUCCUCCCCAACACUAGGGGGCGAUAUGGGUCUUUUCAGCGGCGCUGUUUCCGACCCCGUCCAACCGUCACCAACAACAGCAGGUCGGUGUCAGACGUCAGAAGUGUCUACAACUGCUGCUGGGCAUUUUGGAGAAACAAGAAGAUGGAGCAUCGUACAGCGUUGUUUUUGUCCGACAUGAUGGACGCGCUACUUUUUCUAAAGAGGAGACCAACGCUACUCCUCUACUCUGGGGGUUUGUUACGGGUUUACGGGGGCGUGGCUUCAUACUCCGACUACGCUGGUUACAUGGUAGAGAAAAUCGAAUUCCAAUCUCAUUAUCUGGGAGUCUUAAUCAGAGUUCUCAAACUCCAAUUAUAGUCGGACUAAAGUGUUUACAUGACCUUCAGUUGUCCGGUCUUAAUCGGAAUAAGGCGAUAAUUCGGUUUUCUCGAGUGUCGUGGAAACAUACUUACUGACAG